rnacentral:rRNA from 1 species
UGUUUAUCAAAAACAUGGCCUAUUGAGAAUGAUUUUAGGUCUGGCCUGCCCACUGAUUUUUUUGAAUGGCCGCGGUAAUUUGACCGUGCUAAGGUAGCAUAAUCAUUAGUUUUUUAAUUGAAAGCUGGUAUGAAUGGUUAAAUAAGAAAAUAACUGUCUCUAAUUAAUUUUUAUUGAAUUUUAUUUUUAAGUAAAAAAGCUUAAUUAAUUUUGAAAGACGAGAAGACCCUAUAGAGUUUAAUAAAAAUGUGAGUUUUAAAUUUUUAGGAUUUUUAAUUUAAAAUAAAAUUUUUAUUUGAUUGGGGUGAUUGAAAAAUUAAAUUAACUUUUUCUUUAUUUUUACAUAAAUUUAUGAAUUUUUGAUCCAUAGAAAUGAUUAUAAGAUUAAAUUACCUUAGGGAUAACAGCGUAAUUUUUUUUGAGAGUUCUUAUCGAAAAAAAAGUUUGCGACCUCGAUGUUGGAUUAAAAUUAAUUUUUGGUGUAGAGGCUAGAAAAUUGGGUCUGUUCGACCUUUAAAAUUUUACAUGAUCUGA